AAAAACCCCUCUAUGAGUCGAGGAGAACGGGUGGUGGGGGAUGGGCUCUGGGGCACCGUGCAGCACCAGCACAUAGUAGGUGCUCAUCCAACAUCUGCUGAAUUGGUUCCUAGGCUCCCCGUCAGUGGCCCAGAAGUCAGAACUGCCCCCCCGCGCCUCCAACCCCACUCGAUCUCGCUCCCACGAGCCCGAAGCUGCCCACAUCACGCACCGGAAGCCCCCAGGCGCGGACCCCAGCUCCUUCCACUUUCUCGAUGCCCCCUUCGCCAAGGUCUCCGAGGUCCAGCAGCGGCUCCGGGGUGGCACCCAGGACGGGAGCAAGCACUUUGUGAGGUCCCCCAAGGCCCAGGGCAAGAGCUCUCUUCCAGGAGAGCACCCUUGCCUGGCCUGGCUUCCAGAGACCCUCCAAAUCUCCGAGAAGAUAAACAGCUGCUACCUCUUAGUAUGAUUCUGAUUUUAUUGUGCCCUUCACUGACGGUAACGUGCUACAAGGGAUUUCAGCGGACUGCAGAUGGCGCGACUUCCCCGGCUGUGGUGUUUUCAAUGUCCCAACCUAGAAACCUUAGCUAUCCUUUCUGGAAGUACCUUUCACGCCUUUCCAGCGGACUCGCGUCCCUGCCCCCAAACCAGUCCCGCCUUUUCGGCCGCACACCAAGAAAAUACAUUUCUCUUUUCUCCUCUCGUCCUCCUCUCUUCUUUAGAAAGCUACACACGCAUAUUGAAAGACUGCCCUUGGAACCAGCUUUCUCGUCUUGGUAACCUCUGCCGAGGGAACCAACCACGUAAACAAGCAUGGGGUUCCGAGAUCGGGCAGUUGUGUGGUGUUGGUUGUGACGGAAGAUGUGGAAACCUCGGGUCCUACCAUUGGCAAAUAUAUACCUACCUAUGUGCUUCUCUACCAGAGCUUCCUGUAUCUGUAGAUAGAUGCUGUCUGUCCAUUUCUAUGUAUCUUUCUAUAAAUAUACACUCUCAGGUAACUUUUCUGGUGUGCAGAAAUCGGUGCUUUGCUUCUCAAGACACAUCCAGAGCCCAGAUGUGACCCUGUGUGCCUCUCGUUGAGACUGCUGUCAGUUACCUGCUGUUAGCCACUUGCCUCUCACUGGGGAUCCUUUCUGGGGUUUGGGACCUGGCAGAUUUUGGAGAGGCCUGUUGGAGUACAGAAAGUUUAGAGGGAGAGUUCCCAUUGUGGCUCGGUAGGUUAAGAACACGACUGGUCCAUAUGAGGAUGCAGGUUCAA
rnacentral:lncRNA from 1 species